rnacentral:rRNA from 1 species
ACCCCCGCCCCCCCCGCCGCGCGCGGCGGGCGGGGCGGGGGCACGGGGGGCCGACGGUGAGGGGUGAAAGCUGGGGGAGCAAACCGGAUUAGAUACCCGGGUAGUCCCAGCCGUAAACGAUGCACGUUAGGUGUAUCGAUGACCACGAGUCAUCGAGGUGCCGAAGGGAAACCGUGAAACGUGCCGCCUGGGAAGUACGGCC